rnacentral:rRNA from 1 species
GAUUAUGGCUCAGGAUGAACGCUAGCUACAGGCUUAACACAUGCAAGUCGAGGGGCAGCAUUGGAGUAGCAAUACUUCAGAUGGCGACCGGCGCACGGGUGAGUAACACGUAUCCAACCUGCCGCUUACUCGGGGAUAGCCUUUCGAAAGAAAGAUUAAUACCCGAUGGUAUAAAGAGUUCGCAUGUUCUCUUUAUUAAAGAAUUUCGGUAAGCGAUGGGGAUGCGUUCCAUUAGAUAGUUGGCGGGGUAACGGCCCACCAAGUCUACGAUGGAUAGGGGUUCUGAGAGGAAGGUCCCCCACACUGGUACUGAGACACGGACCAGACUCCUACGGGAGGCAGCAGUGAGGAAUAUUGGUCAAUGGACGAGAGUCUGAACCAGCCAAGUCGCGUGCAGGAAGAAUGUCCCUAUGGAUUGUAAACUGCUUUUGCAGGGGAAUAAAGUGCAUCACGUGUGAUGUUUUGUAUGUACUCUGCGAAUAAGGAUCGGCUAACUCCGUGCCAGCCGCGGC